rnacentral:lncRNA from 1 species
AUGCCAGACAUGGCCCUCAGACGCGGUGGUCACUCCGCUGUGAUGCCCUAUAAGGAUUCUGGAGCCUGUGGUCCAGAAACCAGCCUUUUACAAGCUCUGGAUGCCCUGCCGGUUUCGCUUCUUUUGCUCUGUCUCAGGGAGGGACCUCGGAGGGUUGGGGAUGGUGCUCGGAAGGAGCCCCCCCUGUAACUGCCCCCCAACAGCAUGUAAGGCUGCCGUCCGCUGGAAGCCAGGCUCUGUGCAGCCGGCGGUGCCGUUUGUGUGAACUGACACCUCUCCAUUUCGAGAAUCCAUGAUGUGUGUAGACCCUGAAGUCCUGGCUUGCACAGGGCGCGCGCGUUUCUCCUAGCCACGAGUCCUUCCGUGGCUCUGUGUGUUUCUUGAGUCCCCCGAGUCCGUGGGGGUGAAAGAAUAACCCC